rnacentral:rRNA from 1 species
UACGUAGGUGACAAGCGUUGUCCGGAUUUACUGGGCGUAAAGAGCGCGCAGGCGGUCGUUCAAGUCGAGUGUGAAAGCCCCCGGCUUAACUGGGGAGGGUCAUUCGAUACUGAUCGACUCGAAGGCAGGAGAGGGUAGUGGAAUUCCCGGUGUAGUGGUGAAAUGCGUAGAUAUCGGGAGGAACACCAGUGGCGAAGGCGACUACCUGGCCUGUUCUUGACGCUGAGGCGCGAGAGCUAGGGGAGCAAACGGG